GACGAACGCUGGCGGCGUGCUUAACACAUGCAAGUCGUACGGUAAGGCCCUUUCGGGGGUACACGAGUGGCGAACGGGUGAGUAACACGUGAGUAACCUGCCCACAACUUUGGGAUAACGCUAGGAAACUGGGCCUAAUACUGGCUAUGUGCUCCUGCUGCAUGGUGGGGGUUGGAAAGCUCCGGGGGUUGUGUAUGGACUCGCGGCCUAUCAGCUUGUUGGUGGGGUAGUGGCCUACCAAGGCGGCGACGGGUCGCCGGCCCGAGAGGGUGACCGGCCACAUUGGGACUGAGAUACGGCCCAGACUCCUACGGGAGGAAGCAGUGGGGAAUAUUGCACAAUGGGAGCAAGCCUGAUGCAGCAACGCCGCGUGCGGGAUGACGGCCUUCGGGUUGUAAACCGCUUUCAGCAGGGACGAAGCUUUUUGUGACGGUACCUGCAGAAGAAGCACCGGCUAACUCCGUG
rnacentral:rRNA from 1 species